rnacentral:rRNA from 1 species
CAGUAGCCGCGGUAAUACGUAGGGGGCAAGCGUUGUCCGGAAUUAUUGGGCGUAAAGCGCGCGCAGGCGGUCAUUUAAGUCUGGUGUUUAAUCCCGGGGCUCAACCCCGGAUCGCACUGGAAACUGGGUGACUUGAGUGCAGAAGAGGAGAGUGGAAUUCCACGUGUAGCGGUGAAAUGCGUAGAUAUGUGGAGGAACACCAGUGGCGAAGGCGACUCUCUGGGCUGUAACUGACGCUGAGGCGCGAAAGCGUGGGGAGCAAACAGGAUUAGAUACCCCCGUAGUCCCUGUCUCUUAUACA